UGGAGGAAGGUUUUAUUUAUAGUGAGCUGGAUACUUGGAGUCUAUUGUCAUGGAGCUGAGGUGGAUAGGCAUUGCAUGGGAGGUGCUGCCCCACCAAUGAUUGCUACUGCUCUGAUCCUAUUGGUGGACUUUGACCUCAUCUGUGCACCCAUAGAUUUUAAUAUUAAUGCAAGUAUCUCAUCAUCAUGUGCUUCUGCCAUCAGAGAUUCAGAGGAGGUAUUAUUAUUAUCAAUAAUAUCAUAUUCCAUACAAAUAUUUGUAUGGCAAAACCCGACCUCAUGGACCUGCAAAUUGGGGAGAACUGUUCUUGCAUCCAGAUAUUUGUGAGUUUAAACCAAGGUGUCACUGAUAAACCCUGGAACAGGAAUGGAUUUGGAUAUGCAUUCCUGACUAAGUACGAUGGGUUGCAUUCAGUGAGGGAGGAUGGGACCAAGCGGCCGACGUGGCGUGCUGUGACUGGCUGGCGAGAUUCCCGUGGGCCCAGGUCACGUGGCAGUGGAUAAGCCCGGUCACCCUGGCCUCUGGUUUGCAGCCGACCGGCCGGCCGGUUUGCCGGUGAGCUGACUCGCCGUGCCCGUGGUUUCUUUGGCCGGAGGAACAGCUGGCUCGCCGCCGUGGUAGGUGACUGGUCAUCUGAUGUCGCUUUGCAUUGGCAGAUGCAUGCUGCGACCGAUUUUCUGUCUGUUUUCUGCCAAGUUGCUUUGCAGAACUUGCAGCCGAUCUUACCCAGUAGCAGCUACUCUUGUUGGAUUUUUGCUGUAGAUUCAGUGCUUGAACACAUGCAGUGAAAGCUACAAUUGGAAGGUGGAAAAACAUGCACCGUGAGAGCAACGAUUUGUGUUAAUUUGACUUCAUUUUUCCUGAGAAGAUCUUUAUUACCGUAGCCUUAUGGGACA